rnacentral:rRNA from 1 species
AUACGUAGGGAGCGAGCGUUGUCCGGAAUUACUGGGUGUAAAGGGUGCGUAGGCGGGUCAGCAAGUCAGGCGUGAAAUACCGGGGCUCAACUCCGGGGCUGCGCUUGAAACUGUUGGUCUUGAGUGAAGUAGAGGCAGGCGGAAUUCCUAGUGUAGCGGUGAAAUGCGUAGAUAUUAGGAGGAACACCAGUGGCGAAGGCGGCCUGCUGGGCUUUAACUGACGCUGAUGCACGAAAGUAUGGGGAGCAAACAGGAUUAGAUACCCUGGUAGUCCAUGCCGUAAACGAUGAUAGCUAGGUGUGGGGGGUUAUAUGCCGUCCGUGCCGGAGUUAACACAAUAAGUACCCCGCCUGGGGAGUACGGCCGCAAGGCUGAA